rnacentral:tRNA from 1 species
GGGCGCUUAGCUCAGCGGUAGAGCGCCUGUUUUACACACAGGUGGUCGGCGGUUCGAUCCCGUCAGCGCCCACCA